CGGCGCCGUCGGGGCUGCAGCUUCCGACCCCAAACGGGAGGGUGUCCCGGCCCCCGAGUGGUGUCCGCCUUCCUCCUCGACGUGCACGUGAAAAUGUCCUCGCUGGUGAAAUGUGACGUGACCUCCAGUUAAGAUCGCCACGGGAAAGUUUUCAAUGCCGCUGCUCUCAAACUUUGAUGCCGUAGCCUGAUGUUACAUUUCUGUCUCCUUUUAAGGAUAAGCUCGUUAUACGAGGACGUUUUCUUUUUAAAAUGGUUUUUGCAUUAUCUGGUUCAAAUAGGAGAUUUUUAAGCUAAUCUUGGAUGAUUUUUAAGUGCAUGCUAAUUGGAGUGACGUUAUGUAAACCUGUAUGAACUGUUCACAGUAAAUGUUGAAGCCUUCAAAAUACGAGGUACUAGUAUCUAAUGAUUUUCUUAACGUAGUUUUUAUGCCCCUUUUAUUCUGGUACUAUGCUCUCUCAGUGAACCCUAAAGCAAACUAGGCUUAAUUAAAGUAAGUAUUUGUUAUAGAAGACAUUCAUUUGGUGCCACGACCGGCAUUCUUUUUGAAAUUGAUUAGAAACUAUCGAAUCAUCACAAAAUGGCUUCUAUUAGAAGAUAGGGACUUACAUAAAAUGGAUACAGUUGUUUACAGUAAGUUCUGAACACCCCAAAACAUGGGGAAGUAACCAUUAGCAUUCACAUAUAUGUAAAUUUCAUGGUCGUUAGAGUCUAGUAGUUUGUUUUAAAGACUCCCUCUCUCUAUACAGAUAGUGAAGGGCUUUGAAAUAAACGUAGGAAAGAAAACCUCAGCUUUGGUCUCAGGUUUCCCUUUCACUAUGCCUUUUCACAGGCCGUUUGCAGUUUCUUUUUUCUGGAAUGCCUUUCUCUCAAAAUUCACCCUCCUGCAAAUGCACAUUUGCUCCCCCCCCAGUUGUCAAGACGUUGAAGGUCACAAACUCCUUGAAGCUUCCUCUGUGGUCCAGGACUCCUAGAGCCUCGUCCAUUGAUCUGCAAUGACUUUGUAUAUUUACUUGUACUGCAAGCUCUCGAGGACAGGAAACACUUUAUUGGUCCACAUGUUGGUCCCCGGUGCCUAGAACAAUUUGCCAAUUUUUGUGACUGAAAUAACGUAUAUAUUCAAAAUUAAGACUGGAAUUAGUCCUUUCAGUGACUCACUAACAAGCAAAGCUUUUGAUUAUUUAGAAUAGUCCAAAUCACAUUAAUCUCUACUUCCCCGAAUUCCUACAGCAUAUUUAAGACAAUACGGUUUCUCUAAAUUUGGAUGAGUAAAGAAGUAACAUAUUAAUUAAUGUCUCUCUUCCAAUUAAUUAGGUUUGAAGACAGAGCCUGACCAUAUACGUCUUUUAUAUACCCAUAGUUUCUCUACCUCACCUAAUUUGGGACACAUACUAGGAGAUUAAAACAUACUUUUCAAUUGACUAGCUGAUUACACGUAAAAGUAUCAUUAUUUUGGAAAGCUCCACAAAGUGAAAAAAAAAAAUGGUAAUCCAAAUGACAAAAUAGAGGUCUACAAUGCCAGUGAGUAAUUAUCUACACGAUGCUACUUGACUGUCCACUUUUCUUUGGUUGUGGAAAACUGACUUCUGAUUUUAUUACACUUUAAAUUCUUUUAAAAUGUUAUUAACUUGCUUUGGACAAUGGCAAACUACAACUGGUUCCCCCCCUCCCCCCCCGCCCCCAGAAUAUAUUUUGUUUUUGAACUAUGACUUUGAGUAACUUUGUGAUAAUACUGUAUAAUCUAGCAACUGAUAAUGUCGCUAGAGCAUUCUUUCACUUAAGAUUCUCAUCGUGAUUUUUCAUGAGUUUUUCUGAAAUUCCUAAUUGGAAAAUUAUUUCUGGCCCCACUCAGAUAUUAUACAAUCUUAGGGCUAAAUCAGACUAUCAGACUGUUAAAAAGCAAGGGCACAGUUCUAGACAAUGACAGUUGAUUAAUUAGUCAGUGGGGCCAGAUGGAUAUGUACAGGUUAUGUCCUUUUGCAUGUUUGAAUUCAUAGUGAGUUAAAUCUGUUUACACAGGCGUUGAUUCCAUGCCAGUGAGGGACACGGAAGAUGUCUGUUCCGUGCCUGUGAGAGACAAAGAAGAUGUUUCUUCUGAAUACAAUUGACUCAGUUACCUGAGUUGUGUCUGAAAUGGAAAGCGUAAGUGGUGUGAGUGAUGCAAAAUCAUAGUCAAAACAUCUUCACACUAUGUCUCCUUUCCUAUUCUGGGAAUUAUUGAAAUCUUCUUGGACUAGGAAUCAUUAAAAAAGCAAACACUGGAUUUUCCUUGGGCACUGCCGUGGACUGACGCGAUCCUAGGCAAGUCAUUUAUUUCAUCUCUUUAAGUAUUUUUUUUAUUAUUUCAGAGAAAGAAGGGAACAGAGGAUUUAAAGCGAGCUGUAUGCUGACUGCAGAGAGCUUGAGCCGUGGCUCACACUCACAAACCAUGAGAUCAUGACCUGAGCUGAUGCCGGAUGCUCAACCGACGGAGCCACCCAGGCGCCCCUCUUUUAUCUCUUUAAAACUCCGUUAACUCAGAAAAGUAGAAAUGGCAACGUCCAAACUCCCUAUCUUGGAGUUUUCAUGAGACCCAACAGAUGUAACCAAGAGCUUUCCAAAGCUUAAGAACUUUCGAGGAAAUCCACUUUCUUCAAGAUAAACCCCCACUUCCGUGUAGGAAGGAACGCUUUGAGGUCAAACUCCCAACUUCUUUCCCGAGAUUCAGCUUCCACUGGGAGAGUUUGCUUUUCCAGUGGGAGCUACACAACAGGAGGGGGUCUGAUCCAGGCCUCACACUCUUCACUAGAGUAUGUGGUGACUGCUCCCCGCAUGCCGUCUGCAGUCUCCAUGAUAGAGCUUAGCAUCUUCCGUUUGUGGCCCCUUCCUGAUUUCCACCCUGCCAUUUUUAAACCUUCCCAAGCAGAAGUGGCUUUAAGCAUAUCCAGAUGCCUUGAACGCUAGACCCAGGAAAUGACCGGGAGGCAGUUACUUCUCUGGUUUGUCUAAUUCCCAUUUCCUAAAGAAAGUUAUUACCCUUGCGUGGAUGGUUAACAUCAAGAAUGUUCUCCCUGGGCCACCUGGCUGGCUCAGUUGGUAGAGCGUGUGACUCUUGAUCUUGGGAUCAUGAGUUCGAGCCCCACGUUGGGGUGUAGAGAUUAGUGGAAGGAAGGAAGGAGGAAGGAAGGAAGGAAGGAAGGAAGGAAGGAAGGAAGGAAGGAAGGAAGGAAGGAAGGAAGGAAAAGGAAAGGAGGCAGAGAGGAAGGAAAGAAAGAAAGGACAGAAGAAAGCUCAGCCCCUUCAAGAUACCUUCCCUACCUACCCCUGGUAUCUCCAAAUGAAAACCUUAUCAGAAUACAACAGAAUAACGGUUUGGUUUCAUUUCAGUUACGGCAAUAAAAAUAACCCUUCUGGAUACUGUGUAUACAUUAUCUCUUUUAAUCCUUAUGAGGCUGAUACUGGCAUCCCCGUUGUACAGAUGAGAAAGCCACAUCUUCACAUUAAUGGGCUGCUUCAGUCGGUAAGAGGAAUCUAGUUGUGAUCCCAGAGCCCCUGUGCUAUUCUGCUCCUUCAUUAAAUACGUGUUAUUGUUACAUCCUGUUUAGUAACCUGAGUAUUU
rnacentral:lncRNA from 1 species